rnacentral:rRNA from 1 species
UACAGAGGUCCCAAGCGUUGUUCGGAUUCAUUGGGCGUAAAGGGUGCGUAGGUGGCGCUGUAAGUCGGGUGUGAAAUUUCGGAGCUUAACUCCGAAACUGCAUUCGAUACUGCGGUGCUUGAGGACUUGGAGAGGAGACUGGAAUUCAUGGUGUAGCAGUGAAAUGCGUAGAGAUCAUGAGGAAGACCAGUGGCGAAGGCGGGUCUCUGGACAGUUCCUGACACUGAGCACGAAGGCCAGGGGAGCAAACGGG